rnacentral:rRNA from 1 species
CCUACGGGUGGCAGCAGUGAGGAAUAUUGGUCAAUGGGCGCAAGCCUGACCCAGCAAUGCCGCGUGAAGGAAGAAGGCUUUCGGGUUGUAAACUUCUUUGACAGGGGAAGAGCAGAAGACGGUACCCUGAAAACAAGCCACGGCUAACUACGUGCCAGCAGCCGCGGUAAUACGUAGGUGGCAAGCGUUGUCCGGAUUUACUGGGUGUAAAGGGCGUGUAGCCGGGAAGGCAAGUCAGAGGUGAAAUCUGGAGGCUCAACCUCCAAAUUGCAUUUGAAACUGUUUUUCUUGAGUACUGGAGAGGCAGACGGAAUUCGUUGUGUAGCGGUGAAAUGCGUAGAUAUAAGGAGGAACACCAGUGGCGAAGGCGGUCUGCUGGACAGCAACUGACGGUGAGGCGCGAAAGCGUGGGGAGCAAACAGGAUUAGAUACCCCAGUAGUC